rfam:Trichobilharzia regenti genome assembly, scaffold: TRE_scaffold0044657
ACCCAGUUGACGAGUCCCAAACAGGAUGAGAUGUGCAUCUUGGAU